CAGUCGCCACGGUAAUACGGAAGGUCCAGGCGUUAUCCGGAUUUAUUGGGUUUAAAGGGAGCGUAGGCCGGAGAUUAAGUGUGUUGUGAAAUGUAGACGCUCAACGUCUGACUUGCAGCGCAUACUGGUUUCCUUGAGUACGCACAACGUUGGCGGAAUUCGUCGUGUAGCGGUGAAAUGCUUAGAUAUGACGAAGAACUCCGAUUGCGAAGGCAGCUGACGGGAGCGCAACUGACGCUUAAGCUCGAAGGUGCGGGUAUCAAACAGGAUUAGAUACCCGCGUAGUCCCUGUCUCUUAUAC
rnacentral:rRNA from 1 species